CUCCUAGCUUGUCAUAAAUAUAAUCGCUUCACUUGUUUUUUCUGGUCUUUUUUGUAAGAGGGAUCACUGGUGGCGUCUCAAUACUCAAAACUUGAUCAUUUCUUCCUUUCACUUUAGCUACUCGACAUUCAAGAGCAACGUUCAGAGUCUCUUCCGACAUCCGUUUUGGUCUUUUCUUUCUUUCCUGUCUUUUAAAGGAUCUCUUGCUUUCCUCAUGUGUGAUGUCCUUGAUGUCAUUCCACAACUCGUCUGGUCUUCAGUCGUUAGUGUUCAACACGUAAAAUGUGUUCUUGAGGUGGUCUCUAAAUACAGGUGAGAUAUACUCAAGGUCAUACUUUGGCCCUUUUUGACUUAUUCUACUUUUCUUCAGUUUCAACUUGAACUUCCAUGUGAGCAAUUGACAGUCUGUUUCACAAUCGAUCCCUGGCCUUGUUCCGACUGAUGAUAUGAGUUUUCCCAUCUUCUCUUUCCACAGAUGUAGUCAGUUUGAUUCCUGUGUAUUCCAUCUGGUAAAGUCCACGUGUAUAGUUGCCGUUUAUGUUGGUGAAAAAAAAUAUUUGCAGUGGAUGAGUCACUGGUCUUGCAAAAUUCUUUCAUGAGAUUUCUGGCGUCAUUUAUUUCAGCGAUGCUGUAUUUUCCAACUACUUUUCCUUCUUUGUUUCCAACUUUAACAUUCUAAUGACCAGUAAUUAUCAAUGCAUCUUGAUUGCAUGUUUGAUCAAUUUCAGGCUGCAGAAGUUGUUUAAAAUCUUCAAUUUCUUUAUCUUUGGCAUUAGUGGUUGGUGCAUAAAUUUGAAUAGUCAUAUAAACUAGUCUUUCUUGUAAGUGUAUGGAUUUUAGCCUAUCAGUGACAACAUUGUACUUCAGGCUAGAUCUUGAAAUGUUCUCUUUGAUGAUAUGUAACAUCAUUCUUUUGACUCUGGUGGAAUAUCCGUGUUUGUAAGACUGCUCACAGACUGUUUCACCAGAGAGUUUUCUGGUACUGCAACAUCUACCACUAAUGUCUGUGAUCCCUUUAAAUUGGCAAAAUAAGAAUAGUGCUAUAGAUUUCUUCCAAAUACAGAAAACAUAAGUAUGAAAAUGUUCUUGCUGUUGAUUAUAUUCUUUACCAAUCUGUUUGUAUGGGAUUUUUGGUACUUCACUUGAAAAAUGAGUCCAAGGUACUGUGAUGUGAUUGUUUACUUUGUGUGGCCUUUCUAGCCAUGGUCUUAUAACAUCCACCCUGGUGCUUGGGCAGGACUGUGUGAUAGGGUAAUUGUGGCUCACCAAGGGGAUUGUUUAUUUUCCCUUCAAAGAGAACCAGUUCCAGAGCAAAGAGGAGGAUUCAACUCCCAUCAAGGAAGAACAGCCAAGAGCCGAGCGUAUAUUAUGGACCUGAGAUCCCUGCACUGAGAAGCUCCUAGAAGCAGGAGACUGAGAUAGAGAGAGGAAGCUGUAACCCUGAAGAUGCUUAAAUACAGACCAGAAGAGGAGUUUGGGGCUUGACACCUGACAUCUUAACACCUGUUCCUGUUUCUUGAGGAAGGAAGAGGUAAAAUAAAUCAGCGUUUACUGUUUCCUUCUCCAUCCCCGGAAGUCCUGAUGAAGACCCUCUCAGCUUCAACUUGAACGUGAAUAUGAGCAACUGAUCAUCUGUUCUGCAGUCAGCCCCUGGCCUGAUUCUGACUCAUGAUAUUGACCAAGUGAAGAGUGAUUCAGAGAAAAACAUGGGUAGAGUGUGACCUAAUUUCCAUAAAAACAAACAAAUGAAUGUACUUACAUGUGUCCCGGCAAAAAGAAGUGUGUAAAAGGGUACAUAUGUAUCUUUGGACACUGGACACUUCAGGGGAGCAGGUACAAUAUACUUAUGUGGGGAUGGCUCUUAUUAUAACUUCUAUAUACAAAUCUCUAUUGUUAAAUGUGUUAUAAGAAUGUAAAAGCUUUUAAAGUUUAAUAACAUCAUACAUGUAUGUGUGUGUAUUUGAAACUUUUUUUCUUUUGACUAUUUCAUAUAUGUGUUUUUUAGUUAUCUAGUUUUUUUUUUAGUGUGGCUAUAGCAGAGAUACCACAAGUGGAUGCCUUUAACAAACAGAAACUUAUUCUCUCACAGUUUAAGAAGCAACAAGUUUGAAGUCAGGGCACCAGGUCUAGGAGAAAGCUUUCUGUGUUUGUGGCUCUGGGGGAAGGUCCUUGUCAUCUAUCUUCCCCUGGCCUAGGAAAUUCUCAGCGCGUGGACACUGGGUCAAAAAGACGUGCUCCACUCCAGGCACUUCUUCCUUGGUGGUAUGAGGUCCCUCUCAUUUCUGCUGACUCUUCUCUUUGUAUCUCAAAAGAGACUGACUCAAGACUCACCCUAAUCCUGUAGAUUGUGUCCUCCCUCAUUAACCUAACUGCCUCUAAUCCCGCCUUAUUAACAUCACAGAGGUUAGAAUUUACAACACAUAAGUAAUCACAUCAGAUCACAAAAUGCAGGACAACCACACAAUACUGGGAAUCAUGGUCUGGCCAGGUUGACACACAUUUUGGGGGACACUAUUCAAUCCAUAACAAUAGAGAAAACACUGUCUUCAAUGCCAGAUUCAGAGACUUUUAUCAAUCUAUGAAGGGCAAACACAGAUAUUGAACAAAAUUCAGACCAGCGAAUUAUUGCUUGCUCUUGUAACUAAUGACUUCUUCUGGUCUCUGUACCUGGAAAUGGCCAAAAAGAAUUCUGUGAGGAUUAAUUCAGUUAUUGCUAAAACAUCUACUGCAUUUACAUGUCUACAGAUAAGGAAGAAUGCUGGACACCAUGUGUGAUUCAUUAAGUAACACAGGGACUAUUAGACUGUUGUUUUCCUUCUCUGAUAUGCCACUAUCACCUUCUCCCCUUGUUGCUCUCCUGAAAAACCCACACUUGUAUAUUCUAGGCUUUUUUCCAGGAUUGAAUUUGCAGGAAGUUGAAGAUAUAUCUUUGAAAGAUAAAAAAGACUUUGGCCACAUUGUCUUUAGACAGUCGAACUUCCCAGCCAGCCUCUGUGCAGGAUGGGAAUUCACAAUCCCUCCUACUCAGUACCUCUGAGCAGGACGGGAUUUCUGUUUCAUUAUCAGGAGACUGUGGAAUUCACCCCUCUUCAGAAAACUUACUUUCCUUUGCCUCAAACUGUCCCUCUCAGGAUCUGUCACGGUCACUCUGAGAAAUUCACAUGGGCAGCCUGUAUGGAAGUGCCCAUCCUAGAGUCCCUGCCCUUCCUUCCUUGCUCCGUAGGGCUUCCUCUGACACUUGGGGUCACAUCUCCCAGGGAGUACACACCUCUGGCACUUCCAGGGAUUCCCAGGCCCUGGGAUACUGUGAUGGGACUUGGAACUCAAUCUCUUUCUUCCCAUCCUCACCUUUGGU